GCUGGGGAUGUAGCUCAGCGGUAGAGCACCUGCCUUGCAUGCACAAGGCCCUGGGUUCCAUCGCCAGCACUAGUU
rnacentral:tRNA from 1 species